ACCUGUCGUAUUCGGCGCAUGUGACAAAUAACAUUUGAUUUGAUUUAAUGGAAUGGAUGACCUUGUUCUUACAGACUACUACUCCCUGUAUCCAGAGGUUUGUAGGCUGAACACCACCACCUCAGACACUGAGACACAGAGUGGCAAGUGAAGUCUUCAGCGAUACUAGACCGUAAUUCUCUAAUGCAAAAGUUCAAACAAUUCAGCAAGGACUGGGACUUCGUCCACGCUACGUCAAGUCCCCACUUCCCACAAUCGAACGGACUAGUGGAGAGAUCUGUUCAGACAGUGGAGAGACUGAUGUACAACGCAAAAGACGGUGGAACUGAAUGGGGGUUUUCCCCAGCACACCUCCUCAUGGGAUGCAGACUGAGGACCAACUGACCCAUCACUGAGAACCUCCUAAAAACAAAAGACAGAGAGAAAGUGAGGAAGUUCAAAGAACAACCGAAAACAAAUCAAAAGUUCUACUAUGACAGAGGGACAAGAAACCUAUCUGAUCUCCAACCUGGUGACAACAUGUGGUACAAAGAUGAAACAAAGGCAUGGGCACAAAAAGGAACAGGUACUGAAGCACAGCUAAGGUCAUACAACAUACGAACAGACUAUGGAGAAAUCGCUGUGAUCUUCUAAUCUAAGGGGUCCAGCAAUAGACAGUUGUGACACUGUUGAAGAGGCUGAAAGCACAGUUCUGGCAGGAGCGCAGCAUGAUGAACAAAUGAUCAGAAGAUCGACACGGCAAGGUGAAAGCAGAGUGUUCAGAAUGGCGGGUCGGUGUGUUCCCUGGCCUGAUCUCUCCAUCACUCAACCUGUCAUCAGCCAUGCCUGCCUGACCUUGUUAGGCCAGCGCUUCUCUCCCGCUCACCCCCCUCACCCCAGCCUCAUCCCCAUUGACUAUGUAGCUCUGAUAUGUCAGGGGGAUGAUGAGUGUGUGUCCCUGUUGAAGUGACUUUGGGAGAGAGCGCGCCAGCGGAGUUUUGUUGUCUGUGACUCUGGUAGUAUGUGUGACAAUAUUUAUAUUGGUCAAGUUCAUGGAAGCCUGCUGUGAUCAGGUUUCCCCCAUACAAGCUAUUAAUGGUCCCCAUGGAAACCCUCUUUUCAACACAAGUAGGGGAUCAAACAAAGUGUCAGGAGUUUCGGUCGUGAUAUUCACUCAUCUUUGUUGCAAUGCCUUUUGAUGUAGCAAUAUAAUUGUCUACUCUAGUUUCUUAAUCCUGCACGGUCCUUCAGGUCCCACAGCACAUUUCUGCUUCAGCCCAUCACCUAAUUCAACUACCCAACCUAACGUAAGCCCUUGAUUAGCAUGAUAAGGUGUGUGUUAGUGCUGGGCACGAUCAAAAUAUGCACCCCUGUGGGUUCCCAGGACCAGGAUUAAGAACCCCAUGAAUACAGAAAUACAGUGGGGGAAAAAAGUAU